rnacentral:rRNA from 1 species
UCGACCUGCAGGCGGCCGCGAAUUCACUAGUGAUUCGUAUUACCGCGGCUGCUGGCACGGAGUUAGCCGGGGCUUAUUCUCCCGGUACUGUCAUUAUCAUCCCGGGUAAAAGAGCUUUACAACCCUAAGGCCUUCAUCACUCACGCGGCAUUGCUGGAUCAGGCUUGCGCCCAUUGUCCAAUAUUCCCCACUGCUGCCUCCCGUAGGAGUCUGGGCCGUGUCUCAGUCCCAGUGUGGCUGAUCAUCCUCUCAGACCAGCUAAGGAUCGUCGCCUUGGUGCGCCUUUACCACACCAACUAGCUAAUCCUACGCGGGCUCAUCCUCAGGCGAUAAAUCUUUGGUCUUAUCGACAUCAUCCGGUAUUAGCAGUCAUUUCUAACUGUUAUUCCGAACCUAAGGGCAGAUUCCCACGCGUUACGCACCCGUGCGCCACUAUGCCCGAAAGCAUCGUUCGACUUGCAUGUGUUAGGCAUGCCGCCAGCGUUCGUUCUGAGCCAUGAUCAAACUCUAAUCGAAUUCCCGCGGCC